rnacentral:rRNA from 1 species
UACGAAGGGGGCUAGCGUUGUUCGGAAUUACUGGGCGUAAAGCGCACGUAGGCGGAUUGUUAAGUUAGGGGUGAAAUCCCAGGGCUCAACCCUGGAACUGCCUUUAAUACUGGCAAUCUCGAGUCCGAGAGAGGUGAGUGGAAUUCCGAGUGUAGAGGUGAAAUUCGUAGAUAUUCGGAGGAACACCAGUGGCGAAGGCGGCUCACUGGCUCGGUACUGACGCUGAGGUGCGAGAGCGUGGGGAGCGAACCGG